GAUGAACGCUGGCGGCGUGCCUAAUACAUGCAAGUCGAGCGAACAGACGAGGAGCUUGCUCCUUCGACGUUAGCGGCGGACGGGUGAGUAACACGUAGGUAACCUACCUAUAAGACUGGGAUAACUUCGGGAAACCGGAGCUAAUACCGGAUAAUAUUUCGAACCGCAUGGUUCGAUAGUGAAAGAUGGCUUUGCUAUCACUUAUAGAUGGACCUGCGCCGUAUUAGCUAGUUGGUAAGGUAACGGCUUACCAAGACAACGAUACGUAGCCGACCUGAGAGGGUGAUCGGCCACACUGGAACUGAGACACGGUCCAGACUCCUACGGGAGGCAGCAGUAGGGAAUCUUCCGCAAUGGGCGAAAGCCUGACGGAGCAACGCCGCGUGAGUGAUGAAGGUCUUCGGAUCGUAAAACUCUGUUAUUAGGGAAGAACAAACGUGUAAGUAACUGUGCACGUCUUGACGGUACCUAAUCAGAAAGCCACGGCUAACUACGUG
rnacentral:rRNA from 1 species